GGACCCGCACAAGCGGUGGAACAUGUGGUUUAAUUCGAUGCUACGCGAAAAACCUUACCAAGAUUUGACAUGCUAGUCGUAUGUUUAAGAAAUUAAAUAGUCAGUUAGGCUGGACUAGCACAGGUGCUGCAUGGCUGUCGUCAGCUCGUGUCGUGAGAUGUUGGGUUAAGUCCCGCAACGAGCGCAACCCUUGUUUUUAGUUGCCAUCAGGUAAUGCUGGGAACUUUAAAAAACUGCCAAUGGAGAAUUGGAGGAAGGUGAGGAUGACGUCAAGUCAGCAUGGCCCUUAUAUCUUGGGCUACACACGUGUUACAAUGGUAGAACAAUUAGAAGCAAAAGGGCGACCUUGAGCCAAUCUGUAAAACACUACCUUAGUUCGGAUCGCACUCUGCAACUCGGGUGCGUGAAGUCGGAAUCGCUAGUAAUCGCAGAU
rnacentral:rRNA from 1 species